rnacentral:rRNA from 1 species
GCUUGCUUUUGAUGGGCGUCGACCGGCGCACGGGUGAGUAACGCGUAUCCAACCUGCCCAUCACUUGGGAAUAACCUUGCUAAAGUAAGACUAAUGCCCAAUGAUAUCCCACUAAGGCAUCCGAAUGGGAUUAAAGAUUUAUCGGUGAUGGAUGGGGAUGCGUCUGAUUAGCUUGUUGGCGGGGUAACGGCCCACCAAGGCAACGAUCAGUAGGGGUUCUGAGAGGAAGGUCCCCCACUUUGGAACUGAGACACGGUCCUACUCCUACGGGAGGCACAGUGAGGAAUAUUGGUCAAUGGGCGAGAGCCUGAA